rnacentral:rRNA from 1 species
GAUGAACGCUAGCGGCAGGCUUAAUACAUGCAAGUCGUGGGGCAGCAUGAGUAGCAAUACUUGAUGGCGACCGGCAAACGGGAGAGGAACACGUACACAACCUUCCUUCAAGCGGGGAAUAGCCCAGAGAAAUUUGGAUUAAUACCCCAUAAUAUAUUUGAUAAGGCAUCUUAUUAAUAUUAAAGCUUCGGCACUUGAUGAUGGGUGUGCGGCUGAUUAGAUAGUUGGCGGGGUAACGGCCCACCAAGUCUACGAUCAGUAGCUGAUGUGAGAGCAUGAUCAGCCACACGGGCACUGAGACACGGGCCCGACUCCUACGGGAGGCAGCAGUAAGGAAUAUUGGACAAUGGACGAAAGUACUGAUCCAGCCAUGCCGCGUGAAGGAUUAAGGUCCUCUGGAUUGUAAACUUCUUUUAUAUGGGACGAAAAAGGACGA